rnacentral:rRNA from 1 species
GGGUUGUGAGGUUAAGCGACUAAGCGUACACGGUGGAUGCCCUGGCAGUCAGAGGCGAUGAAGGACGUGCUAAUCUGCGAUAAGCGCCGGUAAGGUGAUAUGAACCGUUAUAACCGGCGAUUUCCGAAUGGGGAAACCCAGUGUGACUCGUCACACUAUCAUUAACUGAAUCCAUAGGUUAAUGAGGCGAACCGGGGGAACUGAAACAUCUAAGUACCCCGAGGAAAAGAAAUCAACCGAGAUUCCCCCAGUAGCGGCGAGCGAACGGGGAGGAGCCCAGAGCCUGAAUCAGCAUGUGUGUUAGUGGAAGCGUCUGGAAAGGCGCGCGAUACAGGGUGACAGCCCCGUACACAAAAGCGCAUGUGCUGUGAGCUCGAUGAGUAGGGCGGGACACGUGGUAUCCUGUCUGAAUAUGGGGGGACCAUCCUCCAAGGCUAAAUACUCCUGACUGACCGAUAGUGAACCAGUACCGUGAGGGAAAGGCGAAAAGAACCCCGGCGAGGGGAGUGAAAAAGAACCUGAAACCGUGUACGUACAAGCAGUGGGAGCNNNNNNNNNNNNNNNNNNNNNNNNGGGCGUUAAGUUGCAGGGUAUAGACCCGAAACCCGGUGAUCUAGCCAUGGGCAGGUUGAAGGUUGGGUAACACUAACUGGAGGACCGAACCGACUAAUGUUGAAAAAUUAGCGGAUGACCUGUGGCUGGGGGUGAAAGGCCAAUCAAACCGGGAGAUAGCUGGUUCUCCCCGAAAGCUAUUUAGGUAGCGCCUCGUGAAUUCAUCUCCGGGGGUAGAGCACUGUUUCGGCUAGGGGGCCAUCCCGGCUUACCAACCCGAUGCAAACUGCGAAUACCGGAGAAUGUUAUCACGGGAGACACACGGCGGGUGCUAACGUCCGUCGUGAAGAGGGAAACAACCCAGACCGCCAGCUAAGGUCCCAAAGUCAUGGUUAAGUGGGAAACGAUGUGGGAAGGCCCAGACAGCCAGGAUGUUGGCUUAGAAGCAGCCAUCAUUUAAAGAAAGCGUAAUAGCUCACUGGUCGAGUCGGCCUGCGCGGAAGAUGUAACGGGGCUAAACCAUGCACCGAAGCUGCGGCAGCGANNUGCUGGAGGUAUCAGAAGUGCGAAUGCUGACAUAAGUAACGAUAAAGCGGGUGAAAAGCCCGCUCGCCGGAAGACCAAGGGUUCCUGUCCAACGUUAAUCGGGGCAGGGUGAGUCGACCCCUAAGGCGAGGCCGAAAGGCGUAGUCGAUGGGAAACGGGUUAAUAUUCCCGUACUUGGUGUUACUGCGAAGGGGGGACGGAGAAGGCUAUGUUGGCCGGGCGACGGUUGUCCCGGUUUAAGCGUGUAGGUGUGUGUUCCAGGUAAAUCCGGUUCACUUUAACACUGAGGCGUGACGACGAGGCACUACGGUGCUGAAGCAACAAAUGCCCUGCUUCCAGGAAAAGCCUCUAAGCAUCAGGUAACAUCAAAUCGUACCCCAAACCGACACAGGUGGUCAGGUAGAGAAUACCAAGGCGCUUGAGAGAACUCGGGUGAAGGAACUAGGCAAAAUGGUGCCGUAACUUCGGGAGAAGGCACGCUGACAUGUAGGUGAAGUGAUUUACUCAUGGAGCUGAAGUCAGUCGAAGAUACCAGCUGGCUGCAACUGUUUAUUAAAAACACAGCACUGUGCAAACACGAAAGUGGACGUAUACGGUGUGACGCCUGCCCGGUGCCGGAAGGUUAAUUGAUGGGGUCAGCGCAAGCGAAGCUCCUGAUCGAAGCCCCGGUAAACGGCGGCCGUAACUAUAACGGUCCUAAGGUAGCGAAAUUCCUUGUCGGGUAAGUUCCGACCUGCACGAAUGGCGUAAUGAUGGCCAGGCUGUCUCCACCCGAGACUCAGUGAAAUUGAACUCGCUGUGAAGAUGCAGUGUACCCGCGGCAAGACGGAAAGACCCCGUGAACCUUUACUAUAGCUUGACACUGAACAUUGAGCCUUGAUGUGUAGGAUAGGUGGGAGGCUUUGAAGUGUGGACGCCAGUCUGCAUGGAGCCGACCUUGAAAUACCACCCUUUAAUGUUUGAUGUUCUAACGUGGACCCGUUAUCCGGGUUGCGGACAGUGUCUGGUGGGUAGUUUGACUGGGGCGGUCUCCUCCUAAAGAGUAACGGAGGAGCACGAAGGUUGGCUAAUCCUGGUCGGACAUCAGGAGGUUAGUGCAAUGGCAUAAGCCAGCUUGACUGCGAGCGUGACGGCGCGAGCAGGUGCGAAAGCAGGUCAUAGUGAUCCGGUGGUUCUGAAUGGAAGGGCCAUCGCUCAACGGAUAAAAGGUACUCCGGGGAUAACAGGCUGAUACCGCCCAAGAGUUCAUAUCGACGGCGGUGUUUGGCACCUCGAUGUCGGCUCAUCACAUCCUGGGGCUGAAGUAGGUCCCAAGGGUAUGGCUGUUCGCCAUUUAAAGUGGUACGCGAGCUGGGUUUAGAACGUCGUGAGACAGUUCGGUCCCUAUCUGCCGUGGGCGCUGGAGAACUGAGGGGGGCUGCUCCUAGUACGAGAGGACCGGAGUGGACGCAUCACUGGUGUUCGGGUUGUCAUGCCAAUGGCACUGCCCGGUAGCUAAAUGCGGAAGAGAUAAGUGCUGAAAGCAUCUAAGCACGAAACUUGCCCCGAGAUGAGUUCUCCCUGAGACUU